rnacentral:lncRNA from 1 species
GAAAAAGACAACGAAGUCUUGCCACAUAAUCAAGAUACACAAAAUAUCUUCAUUCAAGAUGAAUGGAAUACACAUGAAUGCCGAACCACAUUGGAUAUGUAGCUGUUCAUGAAGAUAUUCCAGGGAAGGCCUAUCUAGUAGAACCUCAAAUCUAUUUGAAUAAAAAUGGCACUCAUUAAGGACAUCUGUCUUCUGUAAUGUCUACACAAAGUCUUACCAGGGUCUUCUUGGCUCUCAUUGACGGCUGAUGAUGGAGGGGUUUAUAAAGAAAACAAGCCAAAACCUGAAGAACUUGCUACUGAGAGCAGCACACAUAUUUUCCCAAAGCGCAAAGUUGAGAAGAAGAAGUACAAAGCUUUGUUAAUAUUCUGAACAGUACUGCUUAGUAUGAUCUAACUGAUGGAUUUUCCAUGGACUCCCUAGAGACUGAAAAAGGUUUGACUGUCAGGAAACUUUUCUUGUGUUUAUUCUUCAAUUUUUCUUUUCCUACUUUCCAAUCAUCAUUCCCUAUUAACAUCCCUUGAUGGGUCACCUUAAGUGAUUCUUCUUUUUAAUGGCAUUUAUAACGUUUAAUAUUUCCCUGUUAGUUUCUAUCCCGACAAAGUACAUAUUUUUUAAAUCUUCACUCAUAA